rnacentral:rRNA from 1 species
UAGUGGCGAGCGAACGCGGACCAGGCCAGUGGCAGUAUUUUAAGAACCGGAACCGUCUGGAAAGUCGGGCCAUAGUGGGUGAUAGCCCCGUACGGGUAGAAAGAGAUACUGUCCUCGAGUAAGGCGGGGCACGUGAAACCCUGUCUGAACAUGGGGGGACCAUCCUCCAAGCCUAAGUACUCCUUUGUGACCGAUAGUGAACCAGUACCGUGAGGGAAAGGUGAAAAGCACCCCGACGAGGGGAGUGAAAGAGACCUGAAACCGGAUGCCUACAAGCAGUCGGAGCCUCCUUGAGGGGUGACGGCGUACCUUUUGUAUAAUGGGUCAGCGAGUUAGUCUGUCGAGCAAGCUUAAGCCGUUAGGUGUAGGCGCAGCGAAAGCGAGUCUGAAUAGGGCGUCGAGUUCGGCGGAUUAGACCCGAAACCGGGUGAUCUAGCCAUGGGCAGGUUGAAGGUGCGGUAACACGCACUGGAGGACCGAACCCACGUCUGUUGAAAAAGACGGGGAUGACCUGUGGCUAGGGGUGAAAGGCCAAUCAAACUCGGAGAUAGCUGGUUCUCCGCGAAAGCUAUUUAGGUAGCGCGUCGCGUGUUGACCGCCGGGGGUAGAGCACUGGAUGGGCUAGGGGGGCGCGAGCCUUACCAAACCUAACCAAACUCCGAAUACCGGCGAGUUAAGCGCGGCAGACAGACCAUGGGUGCUAAGGUCCGUGGUCGAGAGGGAAACAGCCCAGACCUCCAGCUAAGGUCCCCAAGUGGUGGCUAAGUGGGAAAGGAUGUGGGAAGGCCAAGACAACCAGGAGGUUGGCUUAGAAGCAGCCACCCUUUAAAGAAAGCGUAAUAGCUCACUGGUCUAAACAAGCCGGCCUGCGCCGAAGAUGUACCGGGGCUCAAGCCACCCACCGAAGCUGAGGAUGCAUCGCAAGAUGCGUGGUAGCGGAGCGUUCCGUAGGCCUGUGAAGGGGUCCUGUAAGGGGUCCUGGAGGUAUCGGAAGUGAGAAUGCUGACAUGAGUAGCGACAAAGAGUGUGAGAAACACUCUCGCCGAAAGCCCAAGGGUUCCUGCGCAAGGCUAAUCCGCGCAGGGUCAGUCGGCCCCUAAGACGAGGGCGACAGCCGUAGUCGAUGGGAAUCAGGUUAAUAUUCCUGAACCUGGUGGACGUGACGACCGUGAGACGUUGUUCUCCCUUACUGGAUUGGGAGGGCGGCUGGAUCGGUCCGGGAAAGAGCGCCACCGCUAAGACCGUACCCCAAACCGACACAGGUGGGCUGGUAGAGGAUACCAAGGCGCUUGAGGGAACUAUGUUGAAGGAACUCGGCAAAAUCCCCCCGUAACUUCGGGAGAAGGGGGACCUCUCAUCGGGCAACCGGUGGGGGGUGGCACAGAGUAGGGGGUAGCGACUGUUUACUAAAAACACAGGGCUCUGCGAAGUCGCAAGACGACGUAUAGGGUCUGACGCCUGCCCGGUGCCGGAAGGUUAAAAGGAGAUGUGAGAGCGUCGAAUUGAAGCCCCGGUAAACGGCGGCCGUAACUAUAACGGUCCUAAGGUAGCGAAAUUCCUUGUCGGGUAAGUUCCGACCUGCACGAAUGGCGUAACGACUUCCCCACUGUCUCCAACGUCGGCUCAGCGAAAUUGAAGUCUCCGUGAAGAUGCGGAGUACCCGCGGUUAGACGGAAAGACCCCGUGCACCUUUACUACAGCUUCAGAGUGGUACUAGGGAAUAACUGUGUAGGAUAGGCGGGAGACUUUGAACCCCGGCCGCCAGGUCGGGUGGAGUCACCCUUGAAAUACCGCCCUUUUGUUCUCUGGUAUCUAACCGCGAUCCCUGAACCGGGAUCCGGGACCCUCUGUGGUGGGUAGUUUGACUGGGGCGGUCGCCUCCCAAAGAGUAACGGAGGCGCGCGAAGGUGGGCUCAGAGCGGUCGGAAAUCGCUCGACGAGUGCAAUGGCAUAAGCCCGCCUGACUGUGAGGCCGACAGGCCGAACAGAGACGAAAGUCGGUCAUAGU